GAUGAACGCUGGCGGCGUGCCUAAUACAUGCAAGUCGAGCGAACAGACGAGGAGCUUGCUCCUCUGACGUUAGCGGCGGACGGGUGAGUAACACGUGGAUAACCUACCUAUAAGACUGGGAUAACUUCGGGAAACCGGAGCUAAUACCGGAUAAUAUAUUGAACCGCAUGGUUCAAUAGUGAAAGACGGUUUUGCUGUCACUUAUAGAUGGAUCCGCGCCGCAUUAGCUAGUUGGUAAGGUAACGGCUUACCAAGGCGACGAUGCGUAGCCGACCUGAGAGGGUGAUAGGCCACACUGGAACUGAGACACGGUCCAGACUCCUACGGUAGGCAGCAGUAGGGAAUCUUCCGCAAUGGGCGAAAGCCUGACGGAGCAACGCCGCGUGAGUGAUGAAGGUCUUCGGAUCGUAAAACUCUGUUAUUAGGGAAGAACAAAUGUGUAAGUAACUAUGCACGUCUUGACGGUACCUAAUCAGAAAGCCACGGCUAACUACGUG
rnacentral:rRNA from 1 species